UUCUGGGUAUAAAACCAGAACUGUGAGCAGGGGCUGGGAGAAGGAGCGGUAUACUGAAGCUUGCAGCGGCACCUGUCACUACAGCUAAACGGGAGGCGGCCAAGCGUCAGCGACGGAGUGGGGAAGCCGCGGGGCACACCAACGGUGGCCGGUGGCCGGAAGGAGGGAAACCCGACCUGGCCUGCAGCACGGAUGAAUGAGCCUGAGGGUACCAUGCUAAGUGAGUAAAAUCAACGCCCAGAGUGUGGCUCUAGGGUGGGCGCGAUGCCCUGCAAGGCGGACCCACCCGGGGGAGCGCGAACCCACGUCUGCAGACCUCCUUGACUUGCUCGGGAUCCAGGGCUGGCUCAGAUGGCUGUGGGUUGUGGUAUCAGACCCUUUCGGGGCGCUGUCUCGCUGUCGCUCUUGCUCAUGGGAGGAAUAAACAGCACGACCCCAGCUGAGCCAAAAAGUAUACCAAGAAGAAAGGUAAAUGAAACCCCCGAGUUCUGAGCCACUCGAGCCCCAUUCAGGUGCUCCGCGCCCCAGCACGGGAGGAGGCAGAAUGGAACCGGCCACGCUGGCCCCUAAGAGCAGUGGCAAACUGGACACCAUGGACCGACUGAUGGGGGAGGGAGGCCAUGCUUUACCAUGGGAUCUAUUCUGCCGGCACUUGAAACUCUCUACAGUGAUGACACUGUAAUUAAAAAGUACUCGAGUGUCACAUGUCUGUCAAACUUAG